CGCACGGGUGAGUAAUAUAUAGUUAAUCUGCCCCAAAGAAGAGAAUAAUUGUUGGAAACGACUUGUAAAUCUCUAUAUGCCUUUAUCACAUAAGUGAGCAAGGGAAACAUUUAUGGCUUUGGGAUGAGACUGUACGGUAUCAGAUAGUUGGUGAGGUAAUGGCUCACCAAGUCUAUGACGCCUAACUGGUUUGAGAGGAUGAUCAGUCACACUGGAACUGAGACACGGUCCAGACUCC
rnacentral:rRNA from 1 species